GAUAAUGACAGUACCUNGAAAAAGGAAACCCCGGCGAACUCCGUGCCAGCAGCCGCGGUAAUACGGAGGGGGUUAGCGUUGUUCGGAAUUACUGGGCGUAAAGCGUACGUAGGCGGAUCAGAAAGUUAGGGGUGAAAUCCCGAGGCUCAACCUCGGAACUGCCUCUAAAACUCCUGGUCUUGAGUUCGAGAGAGGUGAGUGGAAUUCCAAGUGUAGAGGUGAAAUUCGUAGAUAUUUGGAGGAACACCAGUGGCGAAGGCGGCUCACUGGCUCGAUACUGACGCUGAGGUACGAAAGUGUGGGGAGCAAACAGGAUUAGAUACCCUGGUAGUCCACACCGUAAACGAUGAAUGCCAGUCGUCGGGCAGUAUACUGUUCGGUGACACACCUAACGGAUUAAGCAUUCCGCCUGGGGAGUACGGUCGCAAGAUUAAAACUCAAAGGAAUUGACAG
rnacentral:rRNA from 1 species